CCGCCUGUAGCACAAAGGUCAGUGUGCUCGCCUGAUAAGCGAGCGAUGAACGUUCGAUUCGUUCCAGGCGGA
rnacentral:tRNA from 1 species